AUUGAACGCUGGCGGAAUGCUUUACACAUGCAAGUCGAACGGUAACGCGGGGCAACCUGGCGACGAGUGGCGAACGGGUGAGUAAUAUAUCGGAACGUGCCCAAUAGUGGGGGAUAGCCCGGCGAAAGCCGGAUUAAUACCGCAUACGACCUGAGGGUGAAAGCGGGGGAUCGCAAGACCUCGCGCUAUUGGAGCGGCCGAUAUCAGAUUAGGUAGUUGGUGGGGUAAAGGCCUACCAAGCCUACGAUCUGUAGCUGGUCUGAGAGGACGACCAGCCACACUGGGACUGAGACACGGCCCAGACUCCUACGGGAGGCAGCAGUGGGGAAUUUUGGACAAUGGGCGCAAGCCUGAUCCAGCCAUGCCGCGUGCGGGAAGAAGGCCUUCGGGUUGUAAACCGCUUUGUCAGGAGAAAUACUUCUGGUUAAUACUCGGAGGAUGACGGUACCU
rnacentral:rRNA from 1 species